rnacentral:lncRNA from 1 species
GCAAGUUCACCUUGCUUUCUGCCAUCUAAUCACAGGGGAAAAAGGGGCCUGAGCUUACCAGCACUGUUAGAAAAGUCCUACAGACAAGAAGGGGAGAAGGAGUGAGCACCAUGGCUCAGCUCUCCAACUUGAUGGUCCCUCAUAUGCAGCCAACUCCUGCAGGGCACUCCAGGAAGCCUGAUGAAACUGUUGCUGGUAUUACCCAAAAUGAUCCUCAGCUUCAUUGAAGAGAUCAGACCAAGAAGAAGAAAAAGAAAGGUCCAGCUCACCUUUAAGAGAGCACAAGGCGGAGGAGGUGGGAAUAUAUGGACUUCAGCCCUUCCCAUCCGUUUCCCCCUGUUACUUUCAAAGAUUUUCUAUUUAGAAAGGAAGGCUUUUUUUUUUCCUGCUGUUCAUACAUUACACAUACUUCCCAGCCAAAAUAUCUUGCUUGUAUAUUUUUUUAAUUUAACCUACAUUACUCAAAAUUGCUCUAAGAAUAAUUAAAGAGAAUUACUUUCCCUGUCU